rnacentral:lncRNA from 1 species
GCAGGAGGUGCCCGGUGAGGGGCGGCGAGAUGGAGAGAAGAGAGGGAAGAGAGAGGAGGGAUAGGGAGAGAAGAGAGAGAGAGAGGAGGAUAGAGAGAAGAGAGAGGGUUCUGGUAGGUGGGCCCCACCGCCACAUGUCAUCCACGUCAGCGGAACCCAUCAGACCCGUCGGAUAGCCAAAUAUGAACGGUUUUAAGUGUUGGAUGACCAAAGAUUUCUUAUUUUGCUAUUUGAUGGCCAAAAUCAAACCGAGAUGACAGUUUAAUGGCUAAAAA